AGAAAAUUAUGGAAUGUUAAUACAAGGUCUGUUUAUCCAUAUAUCUUGCAGAGGUGAUCCAUUAUCCAAUGUACAUUUGGAGUUUGCAAGCAGUGAAGCUGCAGUUGAAUUUUGUGAAAAAAAUGGUUUGGAGUGUUAUGUAGACAAACCUCAGAAGACAACAUUUAAACACAAAUCUUACGGAGCAAAUUUCAGUUGGAAUAAGAAAACUAGGGUCUCUACUAAAUAAAUUAUACUGUAAUAGAUUGAAGAAGGAUUUUUGUGUGUGUUUUUUAUAACAUGAAUAUGAAACUGAGAUUUACAUUUAUUGCAUUACCCCUUAGAAACUAUUCAAUGCACAGUGCAUUCAGAUUUGAAGUCAAGUUUUCUGUCAUAAAGAUUUUGCACAGUGAUAAAAUUUUUACUUAAAAGAAAGAACUUUAUUUUACAAGAACUAAUUCAGUUAUAAACAUCUGUUGGAGUUUGCUAAUAAAAAAAUUAUUUAAUUUUUCUAUGAUGUAACAUGUAAAUGAAAAUAUUGUUAUAUAAA